rnacentral:rRNA from 1 species
GAUGAACGCUGGCGGCGUGCCUAAUACAUGCAAGUCGAGCGAACAGACGAGGAGCUUGCUCCUCUGACGUUAGCGGCGGACGGGUGAGUAACACGUGGAUAACCUACCUAUAAGACUGGGAUAACUUCGGGAAACCGGAGCUAAUACCGGAUAAUAUAUUGAACCGCAUGGUUCAAUAGUGAAAGACGGUUUUGAUGUCACUUAUAGAUGGAUCCGCGCCGCAUUAGCUAGUUGGUAAGGUAACGGGUUACCAAGGCAACGAUGCGUAGCCGACCUGAGAGGGUGAUCGGCCACACUGGAACUGAGACACGGUCCAGACUCCUACAGGAGGCAGCAGUAGGGAAUCUUCCGCAAUGGGCGAAAGCCUGACGGAGCAACGCCGCGUGAGUGAUGAAGGUCUUCGGAUCGUAAAACUCUGUUAUUAGGGAAGAACAAAUGUGUAAGUAGCUAUGCACGUCUUGACGGUACCUAAUCAGAAAGCCACGGCUAACUACGUG